UGUAUGGUAUAAACUGUUGUGAAAUGUUUCUAAUUUUCUCUUAUAUAUUUUCAGUGUAUGUGUCAAUGUCAUUGUGAAAAAGUGAGUCCCAGUCUACUUGAGAAGUUUCCCGCCGCAAACCGUCAUAAUCAGCAUUAUCAAAUUGCCAUACAGCUGUUCUUUUGAAACUCACAGUCUUUGGUUUUAUGUGAUUAAGAAAGCAGAAGAUAGGACAAUGGUAACGAACAUUUUGAUCAAGGAAAGGUUCCCCAACACCACAAAUAGCUAUUUUACAUGUUGACGAAAGAAGGAAGAGAUCUAUAAGAAUGUGAGUCUUGGCGUAAACUAAUACUCCUCCAUGAGAAUCACCGACUCUGUCUUUACGAAAAGGUACUGAAUAGUUUUCAAAUGUUAUGAAACGGGUCUCGAUUGUAUUACUAAGCCAUGUUUCUGUGAAGGAAAGAAUAUCAAAUUGUAGCAAUUCACAUUCAAGGAUUUCCUUUUUGUGAUAGAAGAUUUGAACAUUGUAAUGAACAAAAGAGUGAUUUUUUUUAAAAUUCGUCAAUAAAGUCUGUACAUGAACUGCUUGAAGUUGAGUCGGGGCCAGGAUUUUCAUGGACAUCGCCGCCCAGUAUAAGGAUCAUCGACAACCAACAAAUUAGUUCAAAACUUGAGAAGUGUUGUAGGCCUUUUAUUCACAUCUGUUUUGUGACGAACAAGCCUACUCUCACCCUGUAUUCAUUCACAUCUACAAAUAUUAUGUUAUUCCAAAGUCCAGGGCUCGUAUUCAUAAAGAAUCUUAGAUAGAAAUAUCUCUUAGAAGACAACGUUUUCUAACUUUUUCUCAUUUUUGGCUUAAAAUUUGCCUUAAAAACACGUUUGCCUAAGAAUUAAUUCGGUUUGCCAGAGCGUGUAGUCAUGUCAAGCAUUUCAAUGAACGUAAUCAAUAUAUUACAAGUAAACUUCUUCAGCAAGGCUACAGUUAUUACAAAUUGCGUAAAUAUUUUACUAAAUUUUAUUAUCGUAAUUCUGAUUUAGUUUUAAAAUUCAAUAGUAAUUUAAAGACACUUCUGCGAGAAGGUAUUUCUAAACCCGUUUUCUAUGGGGAUUUGGUUUACAAACUUCGUAAGAUCUUGGGUCAUGGUAAUUUUCCAAAUGUAUUUGGAAAGAUUAUCAAACGUUUUAUUAAAAGAGGUUACGACCCAACUGUUUUGAGACAUACCGCAUGUUUAGUGUUCAACCCGUUUACAGUUGGACACUACGCUUCCCUCUUUGAUUGCGUCUGAUGGAAGAGGGGGAGGACUCUAUAAUGAGCAGUUUUUAAAUCCUACCAGGACUGAACUGUUUUGAUAUUUGUCUUCUGACCUAAUUCGUCGGGCCCUUAAGGGUGUUUCUCUUGUUGCUCUGUCUUCUGAAAAGGCAUUGAGUACAUACGUUUUUGGUUCUCAAGGUUUGCUUUUUAUAUAUUUAUACACGAGCAUUUUUGUGUUUUACAUGCCAUGCCUUUUUGUUUCCAUUACGUGUGUUAGAGAUUCACUUGGAGGGGAUUACUUUUAUUUACACUGUCCCAUGUCUUUGGAACAUGGUGGGGGUAAGAGUGAGGUUGGGUGCGCACCAUAAACCGGUUUAAGCUCCCCAGUUGUGUUUUUGCCACUGACCGUUCCAAGGCGGUGCCCAACUGUAUUCCUUUGUUUGUUCGUUUUGUCCUUGUGUGUUGGCUUUGUGUGCGCGCGUGUGUGUAUGCUUAUUGUUCGUCUUGUCCUCGUGUGUUGGCUUUGGGUGUGUGUGUGUGUGUGUUGUUCGUUUUGUCCUGAUGUGUAAGCUUUGAGUGUGUGUGUGUGUGUGUGUGUGUGUGUGUGUGUGGUGCACGCGUUUGCGUGCUGGGGGGUUCGUUUUGAGGAGGCUGCGCUUUUGGUGCGUGGCAUUCCCUGUUUGAUAUUUCUCUUUGUUUUUAGAAAUUAUCUUAAGUAGGUGAUUUUUCUCUUAAAAUUUAAGACAGGUGGUCAUUUAUCUAACUUUUAAGAAUUAUCUUAGAAAAUCAAAAAUAGAAUGAACGCCAAUGACCGCAAUUAACAGUUAUUCAUGAAUUGCAUAUUUACUGUAUAUACUUAUUAGAAUAUUAAUCUUAAUUUAACUUGUGACAGGCUUUCCUAAUUUCUUAUCAAAUAUAGACAUAGAAAUGAAACUAAGAAAAAAUUAUUCUUAUACUUUUUCCUCGCUAAGAUUUUUCUAAGUCGCUUUAUGAAUAAGAACUUAAGAAUAUCUCUUAACUAAGUCUAAAAAAAUAAGAUAAGAAAUAUCUUAGCGGUGAUUCUAAGAUUCUUUAUGAAUACGGACCCAGAACUUGAGCGGGUGAGAUAUUAUCACAGUUAGAGUGACAAUCAGAGCGAGAAGGGAAGAAGUCAGAGAUAUGGAUUUGAGGAAUACGAGACAAACUAAAGAAUUAUUAGACAAAGGAAUUAAGUUAGACAAAGGAAUUAAGGGUCCGUAAUUCCAUUUGACCCAUUUCUGUAACAAAAGGCAGUAUUGGGAUUAUAAGAUAUUUUUGCAAAGAUAUCUAAUGUAAAUUUUCUUUUCAUCAAGUGAAUUUUUGUGUUGUGGUGGAUAUAAAGUAUUUCAGAGAAUGUCGAUGUGAUGAUUUAAUAUAUUAGUGAUAAGAAAUAAAAGGAUGAGUGUUAAGUAGUGUGUAUAGUGAAUUCAGUAAAGGAUAUAAAAUGUUCUAUUAUGUAAGACGUGAAGAAGGCUUGUAACAAUCUAGGUUUAUGGAUGUAAAUUAUGGUUAAGAAUUUGUAGAUGCAUAUUAUGAUUAUGAAGAAUGACAUUUCUAAAGGAUUACUAUGUUUCUACGUUUACUUUAAGAUUUUGAUAUUGCCUAUUGCUAUAUAAUGCAACCUUAAGUGUAAUAUACUUUCAUGUUACAUGGUUUUGAACCUUAUUCGAUGAUUAUGUACAUAGCAAUAUAUGUGUUUCAAAAUUCAUAAAUCAGUAAUCUAUGACAGAUGCAGUAUUACAGAAUGUCUAGAGAUUCUUUAAUACAGUCCAAAUUAAUUACCAAUUUAGACUUGUGAAAACCUAAGUUAUGUUUUAGAACAAUAUGUCAGAGAUAUUUUUAGAAUAGAGUGAUGGUCAAAUACAGUUGUAUUCAAAGACAAACAUUCAGUGGAAUAAGUAAAUAUUACUAUUGUUUGUAUAAAGGAAAUUACAUCUUCAUGAUUUAGUAUAUAUGAUUUAAAUUCAUUAUAAGUCUGCACUAGCAAAACAAAUAUGUUUUACAAGUAUAUAUGCAAAAUUUAUAAUCUCAUGACUGCAGGUGCAUCAUUCACAUAGUAAGACUGUAUAAUUAUGAUUUUAAUAUCAUCAGUGAGUAAAUCACACCAGCACAUAAUAAUAAUAAUAAAAAGGAUCUUAUAUUAUUAUACAUCUUGAAUACAUCUACAGGAACCAGUUUAAAAAAUAAAAAAAGUGGGGAAUUUAGUUUAUAAUUUUGCUGAAAAGUCAAAAAUACAAAUGUUCAUUUUUUGUAUACAAACUCAUUUGAUUCCAAGUUUGACAGUUUAGCACCAUUAAGCUUCUCAGACAUAAUAAAUGUCAUUUAGUGCACAAAGAGGGUCAUUUGGCUAGUUAAUACUAUUUUUACAGGUGACUGUAUAAAGAAAAACUCUUUUCAGAUUAAACUACAAACAGGCUGUAUAGACAAUAAUGAUUAUCAUCAACUGUUCAAACAUUAUAUGUAUCAUCUAGCUCCAUAAACAUUAUAAGUAUUAUCAUGCUGCACAUACAUUGCAAUUGCCAGCCAAAAUAUUAUAUGUAUCAAUAACUACACAUGUAUUUUAUUUUCAGUAGCUGAGCAAACAUUGUAUACAUAUAUCAUCUUGCUGCACAAUAUCUGUACCUUUCAUUAGCUACAUGAACAUUAUAAAUUAUGAAUCAUUACCUGCACAAACAUUUUUGAAUCAUAUACUGCACAACAUUUAUUUGAAUCAUUAGCUGCACUGAUAUUAUAUGUAUCACCUUGCUGCACAGAGAAAGAUAUGUAAAAUAAGCUGCAUUAUCAUUGUAUGAAUAAAUCGCUGUUCAACCAUU